GCCAGGUGCAGUGUCACAUGCCUGUAAUCCCAGAUGCUUGGGAGGCUGAGAUAGGAGGAUUGUGAGUUCAAAGCCAGCCUCUGUAUUUUAGUGAGGGCCUAAGUAAUUCAGCAAGACCCUGUCUCUA
rnacentral:sRNA from 1 species